UCACUUACCUGGACGGGGUCAAUGGAUGAUCAAGUAGGUCCAUGGCCUAGGUUGGUGACCUCCAUUGCACUCAGGAGGGGUGCCCGCCUAAGGUCGGCCCAAGUGGUCGAGCCUAUGUCAUAAUUUGUGGCAGUGGAGGCCUGCGUUCGCGCGGCCUCUGC
rfam:Helianthus annuus linkage group 8, whole genome shotgun sequence.